ACUUACGCAUUGAUACAUUAAGAAUAUGGCCUUGCUAUCCAGUUUCUCCAGCAUCUUGUGUUCUUUCUUCUGUUCUUGGGUUGACUUUUCACUCACCACAGGCACUCCUUCUUCAAUGACUUCUAAUACAUCCUGAAAACCAAAUACAGCCCACAUCUUGAUCCGCCAAUUAGCAAAUUGCUUUCCAUCAAACAUGGGUAGUGCUCCCUGAAUUCCUCCAAUUCCAACCAUCCUUUCUUAUAACAAUCUUUCUGAUUCUUUGAUCUUUACCUUAGCCAAAAGAACCCUUCUUUCUUCACUUCUAGAUACACACACCUCCAGAUACAGAAAACACACCAACUUCACACACACCCUAGGGCAGCAGCCUAAGAUCUGGAUACCAUAUUAGAAAAGGAUAGGGUUAGAAGCGUAAAACACCACCAAAUAAUAUCUCUGACGUUUAAAGAAAAGAGAGAGCAUGUGACUAUCAGAGAAAAACAAAAGGAACGUUUUCUAGAAAGAGGUUAGAGCGUGGCAGAGAAUGGGAACUCU
rnacentral:lncRNA from 1 species